UUCGUAUGUUUUCUUUUUUUUAUUUUUUAGGGAUUACUGGUGACUGGAAAAAUUACUUUACAGCGGCCCAGAAUGAGAAAUUUGAUGCCCUUUAUAAAAAAGAAAUAUCUGGAACUACACUUUAAUUUCGCACAGAGAUUUAAACUGUAACUUGAAGAAACAGAAGAUGACCCAUAGUUUUUAGAAACAAAGCAGUUAUAUCUUGGCUGAGCAAUAAAAUGACUAUAGGGAAGAAAAAGCAUAUUUUAAAACUUUGAAUUUUUCAGCAUCAUUAAUCAGGCUUCAGUUUGUUCCUCUGCCUCUGAGUUUCCUAAUUCCCAAAGCCAAGGCCCAUCAUUCCUGUUUUGUAGGUUAAUCCUGCCUUUUCCUAGAUUAGACCAGAUAAGACAGUAUUUACCCUCCUCAGUCUCCCUAUCGUAUGACUGCUGUUUGUAACCUGACACUAUAUUUCCUGCCUCGACUGGUUUCCUUUGAUGAAUUAUUGACCCAGGACACUGUGUUCCACUGCUGUUUACCAGGUGUGUCAAACUCUUCCUGAAGUCAUAGCUCAUCUUCCUCUAUUUGGAUAACACAGUUCAUGUUCCAGAUCCUAUAAUUUUUUUUCUGUACCUUAUUUAAUGUCCAGGUCUCCAAAGGGCAAAGACCUAUAUUGUUCUCUCUAAGGUCUUCCCUGGGGACUGGAGGUUGUCUCUUAGAGACUGUCUCUGUGAGCACCAGGACUUGCUUCCUGUGGACAGUCCUCUUCUCUUAGGAAACCCUUUUCAAUUUCUAUAGAUCACACAUUGCAGUGCUCUGGUCACUUUGAUCUUUCUCCGAAUAGAUUUGGAUUCCCUAAUAGCACCCAAGAUAAGGGUAUAGCUGCCACUGAAAAUUUCCCAGUCUGCUGUCCAAGGAAGACUAGCCUGAGUCUCACUCUGCCCUCCUGACCCAGGAUCCCUCCUACCUACUAUCCCACACUAUGGCUACGUGCUUGGACUCUCGAUAGACGUUUCCGGGAACAUUCAUAUCUCAACUCUGGUUCUUCCAUGCAUGUAGCUAUGCCUCUAUCCAUGUGCAGCAAAAACUUUUAUCUGAAGUUCAUAUCACCAUGUGCCAAAUUAAAUCCAAAGCCACAGUUCUUAAACUGAAGCUCAUUAGAGUGCUCUGGGCUGGGCCUUUCCAUGUUCCAGGAGUUGGAACUUCAAAUGCAUUUUAGACUCCCUGAGGCAUAAUACAAAUAUCAGUGGGUUGCAGUUUUGCAAAUAUACACUCUCAGUCUGGAAUAGUUGAAACACUCCUUCACCCUGUAACUACACCCCUUUUCAAUCCCAGCAGAAGAAUAAUGUAGUACUAAAUGCAAAUCCCCCAGAAAUGAUUGCCUCUGAUUCUGGAAAUAUUUGCUUCUAUACAUUUACAGUGUAUAUUAUAAAUUAUUUUAGGAUAAGCAACUUGUGUUCAUGCUCUUUAGAAACAUAUUUUGAAGGAGUUAAUUCUAUAAGUCUACGCAUGUUAUGAAUACUAGCUAUGUAGAAUAUUGUUUUUAAGAAGGAAGUAAAGUAAGCCAAUCAUGUGUCUAUUUAUUUGUUAUCUUUACUAACAAUGAGUAAAUGUUGCCUGAAUACAUAUGGGCUUCUGCUACUAUAGUCUGUUACUGGGGAAAAAAAUCUGAACUAGACUUUAAUCUUUGUAAUGGGUUGGCUGCACUAACUAAUUUCACUAGCAGAAUAUAAUAAUUCCUACUUUCCCUAGUUUUCCUCUUUGGAAUAAGUUUCUCACUGGACUUGAUUCAACAGCAACAACAAAAUACUGUAAGAUUAAACUAUUCUCCAGAUAUUUUUUCUGUGCAUUGAAUGAAAAGUACAAAAAAUUAGAUUUUCCUUUACUCUUUUGUGGGUUAUUGCCUCUUCUUCAUUUCUUAGUCUAUGAUUCAAACAUCCAUUCAGAUUCCCUCACUCUUAAGCUCACUCUCAGCACUAUACAGUGAGACUCCUACUAGAUUUUAGUUUCAGAAGUGCUUUAUAUCUUUUGAAACCCUACAAAAAAUUGCCACCAAAUUAAUUUUUCUAAAACAAUGUUUUCAUCUCUAUUUCUUAUUCAGUUUCCAAAUAAGACACAGUUGCAUUGACCUCGUUCUAAUGUUUUUUUUUUUAUUUUGUUUUGUUUUUCCCCUGACUGAUGAUGUACCAUGACAUAAGGACAGUAAGGACAAAUGUCUGGCAAUGUUUUCCUUAUUCCCUCAUCCAUGGCAAGUCUCAUUCAUCAGGUCAAGUGUUGUUUUUCAAGAAGUCAACAAAGCCAAGUGAAGUGGUGCAUGAAUAAAAUAUAAAUAAUAGGGCUGCAGAUGUGGCUGAGUGGUUAAGUGCCUCCUGAGUUCAAUCCAUAAUAACAACAACAAGAAAAAAUUCAAUGAACAGCUUAAAGAUUUUUUUUUUCAUCAGAGCACAAUUAGGCCCUCACUUCCCAAAGGGAAAUGAUAUCUAUUUCAUUUCACUCCACCCUGUUCUCAUGAGAUCUGUUCUAACUUGUCCUACCCACACCACUUAAUCUCUUAAUCUCUUUUCCCAUUGAUCUUAUCUAAAAAGUUAAACCCUUUGAGGAUUUUGACAGUUGAGUAUAUGCCCCAUUUCACUUUAAUCAAGACAACACUCUAUUCCAUAUUACAUAUUCCUUUUCAUAUACAGACAAGAAGUUAAUAUAAUCUCUUUCAAAUACUUGCUAUUAAAGAGAUGUGGGAAGCCAAUUAUUUUGCUAGAGUUCUUCAGACAACUGAGAAAGGCAAGAAGGAAAAAAUGGGCCUAAGAAUAGGUAGUUUUUAGUAAGCUACCUGCACAAAUGUCUCAUUUAUUUCUUGUGAUCAUUGAAAGUGUUAUAAAUAAAAUAUUUCCAUGUUAUUAAAACAUGACUUUCAACAGCAAGCUUUUUAAGCAGCCAGCUACUUAGUACAAGCAUAUUGAAAUGACUUUAUCCAAUCUUAUUGUUUUCCCAAGAUCAGUUGUCACAUCUGUGAAUAUUAUUGGAGAAAAUUCAUGGAUAAGAUUUAUUGCACAAAAAAUGGAAUUAAUUUAGAAAUAAAGUGUAUCUCCAAAUCAUUAAAUUUUAUUAUCUAUUUCUGAAGAUCCUAUUUUGUCCCAGUGCUAUGUUCUUAUCUUUUUAUUCCAUGUAUUUUUCACACCCCCAUUCAUUUUUUGUUUUUUGUCUUUCAGUGGGAGUUUGUUUCCUUUGUGUACUUAUGUUGAAAUCAAUAUCAUAGAUACUAGAGCAUUCCUGUUAGGGAUCUAGUAGUUUUAGAAAUUGUUAAAUUGUGCUAACAGAGUAUUUAUAUUUCAAAUGUAAAUUGAUAUAGGUAUGUGUUUUGGGGAACUUCUAAUAUUGUCUUAUUGACACUUUCAACACCUUUGAGUGUUUUGUGUGACUCAUCAUAAAAUCAUGAAGAAUACAUGUAAAAAUCAUGUAAAAUACAUGUAGAAUCAUGUAUCCCACUGGGUGUGGUGGUGCAUGCCUGUAAUCCCAGUGACUGUGAAGACUGAAACAGGAGGAUUUACAUGUUGGAGGCUAGCCUGGACAAUGUAAAGAGAACUUGUCUCUAAAUACAGUGAAAAGGGCCAGUGGUGUGGCUCAGUGGUAGAGUGCCCCUGCAUUCAAUCCCCAGUACCAUAAAAAUAAACAAAUUAAUUUAUUAAUUAAAAAUGCCAAGGAAAUGCUUUCCAAAGUAGCUGAAUAUAAAGAUAGCCUCAAUACCAAGUUUCCCUUUAUUCCUACCUGGUUUGGUGUCUGCAUAGUUUUUUCUAGAGAAGGUCUGGAUAGGAAAGUUUACUUUUUUAUUUAUAAAAUCAAUGAAAAUCUCCUGCAAUCAAAAGGAAAAUAUAUUUGUAAUUUUCCCCCUAAGAAGGCAGAUUAAUUGAUAUAAGAAUAUUUUGCUAAGCUUUACAAGAUGCAAAUGUUACCCUGGGUUUUAAUUUUUCCUCUACCAUAUUCAUUAUACCACCUCUCCACUUUUAGACAGUAUUGGUAAAUUAUAUUAAAUAGGCAAUCAUCUUCUCUUGUUUCUCAAUAUUGAGUGCAUGAGUACUCAGAGUAAGAGACUGAAAAUGGCAAAGCAGGGAGAAACAGAAUAUGAAAAGGAUGGAAAGAAAAUCAAUAAUUUAAUUUAAUAAAAGUGACUCUUUCUGUGUUUCUGGGUGUUUACAAUUGUUUCUUUAUAGGUUUUGUAUACAUCUGGUUAAAUUAAAACCUAGUACUGUUAUCUUUUGUGUUGGUAUUAUAAAAAACUUAACUUUCUUAUAGUAUGUCUACUAUUCACUAUUUGUAUAAAGUUCUGCUCAUAUCUCAAUUUAAAUUUUAUAUCUUUUAAUUUCCUGUAUGUAUUCACUUG
rnacentral:lncRNA from 1 species